ensembl:lncRNA
CUUUUCUUCAGCCCUCUGCAGUAAUUCCUUAGGUUGCCAUGUUGCUGGAGUGCUCAGAUCAACAGGAGCAGAACCUCCCACUACCCUGCGUUCUGCUCCCGUGCCCCAGCCCAAAACCCUCUGCCCGCUGUGGUUUUAGUGUCCAAGGUGAGAGCUGGAGGUGAAAUGUAUGCUCAUGACAGGAGGUUCACUGCCACCCUCAGCACUCUCCUUGGGACAUCCUGCUCUUUUCCUGAGUGUGUGGGAAGCAACAACAAGUCUUUUCUAUGUGAAGGCAGGAGCUGCUAAAUUCUCCAGCCUCUGCAAUGAGAUUACUGUUCCAAAGACAGCAAUAACCUCCUCCCCUGAACAGAACCUGGAAUUUUGUAUGCAGAGCUUUCCUGUUGUGGCCAUCUGAUGUUACAGUUACCAGCAGUCACUUGGGAGCCCUACAGUGGGACCAAUCACUGGCACAUGGAGCUGUUCACAAUAGGAGGGCGAUGGAGACUGAAAGAAAAAUAUUGCUUCCACCCAACGUCACUGUACAAGUCCUUUGUUUCAAGUCAAAAUUCACUUUAGACACAAGACAGAACCAUCUAUGAAAUUAGACUUUCUUCUGACAAGAUUAAAUCAAGACAAGGAAUGAG